AAUACAUCGGAACAUGUCCUGUAGUGGGGGAUAGCCCGGCGAAAGCCGGAUUAAUACCGCAUACGAUCUGAGGAUGAAAGCGGGGGACCUUCGGGCCUCGCGCUAUAGGGUUGGCCGAUGGCUGAUUAGCUAGUUGGUGGGGUAAAGGCCUACCAAGGCGACGAUCAGUAGCUGGUCUGAGAGGACGACCAGCCACACUGGGACUGAGACACGGCCCAGACUCCUACGGGAGGCAGCAGUGGGGAAUUUUGGACAAUGGGCGAAAGCCUGAUCCAGCAAUGCCGCGUGUGUGAAGAAGGCCUUCGGGUUGUAAAGCACUUUUGUCCGGAAAGAAAUCCUUGGUUCUAAUAUAGCCGGGGGAUGACGGUACCGGAAGAAUAAGCACCGGCUAACUACGUGCCAGCAGCCGCGGUAAUACGUAGGGUGCAAGCGUUAAUCGGAAUUACUGGGCGUAAAGCGUGCGCAGGCGGUUUGCUAAGACCGAUGUGAAAUCCCCGGGCUCAACCUGNGAACUGCAUUGGUGACUGGCAGGCUAGAGUAUGGCAGANGGGGGUAGAAUUCCACGUGUAGCAGUGAAAUGCGUAGAGAUGUGGAGGAAUACCGAUGGCNAA
rnacentral:rRNA from 1 species